rnacentral:rRNA from 1 species
CGUGUAGGCGGCUUGACAAGUCAGAUGUGAAAUCCCUGGGCUUAACCCAGGAAGUGCAUUUGAAACUGUUUGGCCGGAGUAAGGGAGAGGAAAGUGGAAUUCCUGGUGUAGAGGUGAAAUUCGUAGAUAUCAGGAGGAACACCGGUGGCGAAGGCGACUUUCUGGCCCUAUACUGACGCUGAGACGCGAAAGCGUGGGUAGCAAACAG